GCUUUUGCACCCUGCUCUAGGAGGAGGAAGUGGAUGUGGAGUAGGAGGUUGAGGAGGAUGUCUGCCCUAUCAACUUUCAAUGUCACUUUCUGCGUCUACCAUGGUGACCACAGGUAACGGGAGAAUCAGGGUUCGAUACCGGAGAGGGAGCCUGAGAAAUGGCUACCACAUCCAAGGAAGGCA